rnacentral:tRNA from 1 species
GGUUGUGGUUCAGUGGUGGAGUGCUUGCCUAGCAUGCAUGAGGCACUGGGUUCGAUCCUCAGCACCA